rnacentral:lncRNA from 1 species
CCGGGCUGUAAUCUAUGAAACUGAGCCCGGAUCCAGCCAAUCACCCGGCUCCUCAUAACAAGUCUGACUGGCUCGGGGAAGCUGAAAGGGCUGCGCUGGAGCAAGGCACACGAGAUAUUCCACACAAUCGUCUGCUUAUCUAGAAUCAGCGUGCCUGGGGAGGCCCCAGAGAAAGCCCAGCGCCCCUGUCCCAGGGAAGCAGGGCCGCAGAGGGGA